AGCGUAGUUCCAGUGCUGAAAUUUCCUACAAUAUAGUAUUUAUAUAGGUAUUUAUGUAGGCUCUUCUAUAAUCAUUUAUUGUGUAUUUUUUAAGAGAAAGGUAUUUUUUAGAAUUAUUAGGUUCGAGAAUUAUCUAGACUUGGUGGUUCAGGAGUAGCACAAAGUACAAGGAAAGUGCUUUAUAAGGUUCUGGGCAAUGAAAUUGCACAAAAAUAUUCUUGGGAUGGGGCCAAACUGAAGAGAAGUUUGAAAUCAUUGUUAGUGGCCAAAAGCAAUUUUAGACUCCAUGAAAGGUCAAUUUCAAGAGUCAAAAGAAACCGAAAUUAUCAAUAUAAUUAAAAUAUGGCUUGUAAAAACAAA